CUAAUACAAGUGGUUCUGAUGUAUCUAGCAAACAACAACAAAGGCCAAACAAAUAUACAACUAAGGGGGGGAAAGCUAGAACAACUAACAGAAUUGCUACACAUGGAGGGGUCCACUCUGGAGCUAGUGAAGGCUUUAAACAAGGUCUGUGAAUGCAUAUGUAUUUGUAUCUUAUCAUAUAGAAUUGAUAGAAAACUGCAAUUAACUUUUGUUUGGUUGUUGCAGGGAAGGUGGUUGACUUGUGUAAUGAACAUAACUUCAAUGGUGAGCUAAUUGUUGAUGGUCUUAGUGUUGGGCAAGGUGAAUUUUUUUAUUUCUUUUUAUUAAUUAAUUGAUUUAUUACAUCUCUUAAAUUGUAUAAAGUAAUGUUUAAUAUUGACUGGUACUCAAAAUACAAGAGACAUUACUGUAUGCUUCUAUUCUACAAUAGAAAGUAGUUUUGCUCAAAAAAAAAAAAAAAACAAAAAAAAACAAGAGACAUGGUGUUGGUAUUUUUCUAUUUAUGUUCAGUUGUCUCUCUCCUUGUGCAUAUAUGUGAGUUUUGGGAAGUACACUUACACUGCAAACAAGCUGAAUUUCGGAGUGUCUUUUUUUGUUCUUUACAGAAUAUGAUGUAAAUCUUGCCAGUCAAUGUGAUUUAAAUCUUGGCAGUAAGAAUCAAAAUACUGAACAAGG
rnacentral:lncRNA from 1 species